rnacentral:misc_RNA from 1 species
GAUGAAGAACGUAGCGAAAUGCGAUAAGUAAUGUGAAUUGCAGAAUUCAGUGAAUCAUCGAAUCUUUGAACGCACAUUGCCCCCGCCAGUAUUCUGGCGGGCAUGCCUGUUCGAGCGUCAUUUCAACCAUCAAGCCCCAGGCUUGUGUUGGGGACCUGCGGCUGCCGCAGGCCCUGAAAACCAGUGGCGGGCUCGCUGUCACACCGGGCGUAGUAGAUUUUAUCUCGCUCAGGGCGUGCUGCGGGUUCCGGCCGUUAAAAAGCCUUUUUUACCCAAGGUUGACCUCGGAUCAGGUAGGAAGACCCGCUGAACUUAAGCAUAUCAAUAAGCGGAGGA